CCAACAGUCCUUUUCAGGACUACCAACAUCCCCUUUUCAGGACUA
rfam:Strongylocentrotus purpuratus Contig5862_fixed, whole genome shotgun sequence.